rnacentral:tRNA from 1 species
CAGAAUGUGGCUGAGUAGCCAAGCAUCUCAUUUACACCGAGAAGACACCCAUGCAAAUUGGGUCGCUCUGA